rnacentral:lncRNA from 1 species
CAACCCAACCAGGGUCAACCAAACCAAACCCAACCCAACGAAAAGUCAACUAAGGUCAACCCAACCCAACCCAACCCAAAGGUUAACCAAGGUCAACCAAACCCAACCCAACCCAAGAUCAACCCAACUCAAAGGUCAACCCAAGUCAACCCAACCAACAUCAACCCAACCCAACCCAACUCAAAGUCAACCCAACCCAACCCAGCCCAAGGUCAACCCAACCCAACCCAACUCAAAGUCAACCCAACCCAAGGUCAACCCAACCUGACCCAAAGUCAACCAAACUCAACCCAACCCAAUCCAAGGUCAACCAAACCCAAACCCAACCCAAGGUCAAUCCAACCCAACUCAAAGUCAACCCAACCCAACUCAAAGUCAAUCCAACCCAACUCAAGAUCAACCCAACCAAAAGUCAACCAAGGUCAACUCAACCCAACCCAACCCAACUCAGUCAACCAAACCCAACCCAACCCAACCAAAGGUCAACCAAGGCCAACCCAACCCAACCCAACUCAAAGUCAACCCAACCCAAGGUCAACCCAACCUGACCCAAGGUCAACGAAACCCAACUCAAGGUCAGCCAAGAUCAACCCAGUCCAAGCCAAAGCUCAACCAAACUCAACCCCACCCAACCCAAGGUUCACCCAACUCAAUCUGAAGUCUGUCAAGGUCAACCCAAAUCAAAGUCAGCCAAGGUCAACCCAACCCAAGGUCAACCAAGGUCAAGCCAACCCAACUCAAAGUCAACCCAACUCAAGUCAAGGUCAACCAAAUCUAACUCAAGGUCAGCCAAGGUCAACUCAACCCAACCCAACCCAACUGAAGAUCAACUCAACCCAACAUCAACCAAGGUCAACCCAACACAAAGUCAACCCAACUCAAGGUCAACCAAGAUCAACCCAACCCAACCCAAGAUCAACUCAACCCAACUCAUGGUCAACCAAGAUCAACCCAACCCAACCCAAGAUCAACUCAACCCAACUCAUGGUCAACCAAGAUCAACCCAACCCAACCCAAGAUCAACUCAACCCAACUCAUGGUCAACCCAAGUCAAUGAAAAGCCAAACUCAACUCAAGGUCAACUCAACCCAACCCUUGGUCAACCCAACCAAUGGUCAGGUCAAGACCAACCAAUGGUCAACCAAGACCCAGCCAACGGUCAACUCAACCCAUGGUCAACGCAAGACCAAUCUAUGUCAAUCCAGUCAAAACCAAUCCAUGGCCAAGACCAACCCAAAGACCAACGCAAGGCCAAGACCAACCCAAAGUCGAGACCAACCCAAAGUCAACACCAACCCAAAGACCAACCCAAGACCAACCCAAGGCCAAGACCAACCCCACCCAAGGUCAAGUGAGGUCACCCAAAGGUCAACCCAAGACCCUCCAAGGGUCACCGAGGUCAACGUCAAUCACCCAACGCUCAACCC